CAGAGCCCUGUGAACUACUCCUGUUGUAAUCGGACAUAUUCAGACAUGAAAACCAGAACACAGAACUGUCAGCACUGAGGUCUCUGCAGUCUCAACUAUGUAAAGGGAGAAGAUGAUCUUCCUCAUCCUGCUGCUCCUCUUCCUCACCCCCUGUGUCUCUGGAAUAUUUGUAGUGAAUGUGACUCAGACUUCCUAUCAGGCAGAGGAGAACCAGAACAUCACCCUGGAGUGGACCUUCAGCACCAGAAGAGAAACUUCCCUCAGAUCCAUUUCUACCUUCUGUCAGUUGUUUACUGAAGGCAGGUACUCAGUCCUGUUUCAUCUCCAUCAAGGUGUUGAAUCCCCAGAGUCUCAGGAUCCACAGUUUGCAGGACGAGUCCAGUGGGACAAAGACGUCCUCACAGAAGGACAACUCACACUUCAUGUCUCCAGACUCAGGACCAAUGACUCUGGGUUUUAUGUGUGUGACAUACUCGUCAGACCUGAUGGGAGUAACUCUAGGAGAUGCUGGCUCAACGUCACUGCUGCGACACAUUGGAACAAACCUGAGACUCCCAACACAGGAGGAAACAAACCUGAGACUCCCAACACAGGAAGACGGGGAAGGAUUGGCCUCUACUUUGAGAUUGCACUGGUUUCUGUUCUACUUGCUCUGUGUGUCCGUGUGCUUCUUAACUUCAGACGACAAGCAGCCAGUGAAGAAGGUUCAGACUCAGCGAGUGGACCAACAGAAGCUCUUUGACACUAUGUGUUACAUUAAUGCAAAUAUGAAUAUUGCACAAUACUGACUCUUUGAAAUCUGCAACACUCUGACACUUCACUUCGGGUACUGUACAUCUUAUCUUUCUUUCAUUAAGAGAUAAACUAAAAUGACCAAAUGUGAUUUCUGAGAGGCGUUGAAUCCCCAGAGUCUCAGGAUCCAGAGUUUGCAGGACGAGUCCAGUGGGACAAAGACGUCCUCACAGAAGGACGCCUCACACUUCAUGUCUCCAGACUCAGGACCAGUGACUCAGGACUUUAUGUCUGUAAAGUGUUCACUGAUUAUGGACGGAACAAUGGGAGAUGCUGGCUGAAUGUGACUGCUGCUGAAGAGCUCGAACCUCAGAGACCAUCAGAGAGUCCUCAAGCAGAGAGUCCGAGAAGACUCUGGCUUAUCGUUGUGAUAACAACUCUGAUUCUCUUUGUCGUCAGCAUGGCCUGCAUUGUUUUAAUACGAUUUAAGAGAAGAACCUACAAUGCAGCCAUACAGAUGGAGAGUUCAUCAGAGGAACAAACCAUCAGGACUAACAUGUCUCCGUCUGAAUCUGAGCAUGAAGUGAGACUCUCCAACAUCUGAUUCAAGAGUCAGAAAAGAGCAGUGUAACCUCUGUAAAGUGUAUUUUUAUACUUAUUUAUUUCAGUCAUCACUGUGAGUUUUAUCAUUCAGCUGUAAGGUCAUCAAUCUGUUCUCUGUUUACUGAUGGAUAUUGUUACCAUGCUCUGCCUUUAAAGUACAUUUCUAAUGUCACAUAUUGGGAAUCAAUCCCUUUUUCUAUGAGAGAAAUCAUGACAUUGUUAGAGGGAAAUGUAAAUAACAACACUACACGCCAGAGGACAAAAACAAUACAACUGUAAAUAAUCUUAA